GGCGACCGCUUUUCCGCAAGGAAGGGAGGAAAGUCCGGGCUCCAUAGGGUAAAGCGCCAGGUAACGCCUGGGGGGCGAGAGCCUACGGAAAGUGCAACAGAAAAUAUACCGCCUAAGCAGCUCUGCUGCCGGUAAGGUUGAAAUGGUGCGGUAAGAGCGCACCGCGCAACUGGUAACAGCUUGCGGCAUGGUAAACCCCGCUUGGAGCAAGGCCAAAUAGGAAUCCGAUGCUGUGACCCGCAGUGGAUUCGGGUAGGCUGCUUGAGGCCUGCGGUGACGCAGGUCCCAGAUGAAUGGUCGUCCUCGACAGAACCCGGCUUAUAGGCCGACUCA
rnacentral:RNase_P_RNA from 1 species